rnacentral:lncRNA from 1 species
UAACUCCUUAAGGUGUCAAUUGACCAUUUUGGUCAUGUUGACUUAUUUGUAGAUCUUACUUUGCUGAUCAUUAUUGCUGUUUACAGUUUAUCUCUAUCUAUAAUAAUAUUCAAGAUAUUAACCAAAAACUGCAAAAUUUCCUUAAAAUUGCCAAUUCAGGGACAGCAACCCAACAACCGAUUGUCCAAUUUGUCUGAAAAUUUAAGGGCAGCUAGAUCUUGACUUGAUAAACAAUUUAACCCCUGUCAGAUUUGCUCUAAAUGCUUUGGUUUCAGAGUUAUAAGCCAAAAUCUACAUUUUACCCCUAUGUUCUAUUUUUAGCCAUGGUGGCCAUCUUGGUUGGUUGGCC